UCGGGAAUUUUGGGCAAUGGGGGAAACCCUGACCCAGCAACGCCGCGUGAAGGAUGAAGUAUUUCGGUAUGUAAACUUCGAAAGAAUAGGAAGAAUAAAUGACGGUACUAUUUAUAAGGUCCGGCUAACUACGUGCCAGCAGCCGCGGUAAUACGUAGGGACCAAGCGUUGUUCGGAUUUACUGGGCGUAAAGGGCGCGUAGGCGGCAUGACAAGUCACUUGUGAAAUCUCUGGGCUUAACCCAGAACGGACAAGUGAUACUGUCGCGCUAGAGUGCAGAAGGGGCAAUCGGAAUUCUUGGUGUAGCGGUGAAAUGCGUAGAUAUCAAGAGGAACACCUGAGGUGAAGACGGGUUGCUGGGCUGACACUGACGCUGAGGCGCGAAAGCCAGGGGAGCAAACGGGAUUAGAUACCCAGGUAGUCCCUGAGCGGGCUGGCAAGGCGCAU
rnacentral:rRNA from 1 species